rnacentral:rRNA from 1 species
AUUGAACGCUGGCGGCAGGCCUAACACAUGCAAGUCGAGCGGAGCGGCGGACGGGUGAGUAAUGGCUAGGAAUCUGCCUGGUAGUGGGGGAUAACGUCCGGAAACGGGCGCUAAUACAGCAUACUAGCCGAUGAGCAUAGUUCGGAUUGGCUAGUUGGUGGGGUAAAGGCCUUCCAAGGCGAAGAGCCGUAACUGGUCUGAGAGGAUGAACAGUCACACUGGAACGGAGACACGGUCCAGACCCCUACGAGGAGCAGCAGUGGGGAAUAUUGGACGAUGGGCGAACGCCUGAUCCAGCCAUGCCGCGUGUGUGAAGAAGGUCUUCGGAUUGUAAAUCAUUUUAAGUUGGGAGGCGUUACCAACAGAAUAAGCACCGGCUAACUUCGUGCCAGCAGCCGCGGUAAAC